rnacentral:rRNA from 1 species
UCUCCGCUGGUGAACCGCGGAGGGAUCAUUA